AGGUGUACAUGAUAACAACCGGGACCCGCAACCGCCAGCGCCACAGGCACAAUCCAUAGCUGUGACCGUUGCGCCAACGCGGUAUAUUGACUUAAUUGGUCAUUAAAACAUAACCACUCUGUAAAAUCUGACUACCAGACAACGUGGAGAACCUACCAAAAUCGUCCAAUGGAAAAGUCGACAACUUCUAAUGCAUAAACACGACACUCGCUCACGAUUCUCUUCAUAGCUAACAAUAUAAUUAUUUUCUAAUCAAAAAAUGAAGAAAAAACAGAAAGCAAGUUACGGUCAAUUAUGUUUGCCUUGUACAUAAAAAAAAUCAAAAUUUACGACAUUAC